AGAGUUUGAUCCUGGCUCAGGACGAACGUUGGCGGCGUGCUUAACACAUGCAAGUCGAACGGUUUGGUGGUGGGUGGUUAGUGGUUAGUCUUUUGGGGUUUUUGAGUAACGCGUGGAUAAUCUGCCUGUAAGACAGGGAUAACGCCGGGAAACCGGUGCUAAUACCGGAUAACCUCUUUGAAUCGCAUGAUUUAAAGAGAAAAGGUGGCCUCUUUACAAUGCUACCACUUACAGAUGAAUCCGCGUCCCAUUAGCCAGUUGGUGGGGUAAUGGCCUACCAAAGCGACGAUGGGUAGCCGGCCUGAGAGGGUGACCGGCCACACUGGAACUGAGAUACGGUCCAGACUCCUACGGGAGGCAGCAGUGGGGAAUCUUCCGCAAUGGGCGAAAGCCUGACGGAGCAACGCCGCGUGAGCGAAGAAGGUCUUCGGAUUGUAAAGCUCUGUGAUAUUGGACGAUAAUUGACGGUACCUUACCAGAAAGCCACGGCUAACUACGUGCCAGCAGCCGCGGUAAUACGUAGGUGGCAAACGUUGUCCGGAAUUACUGGGCGUAAAGGGUGCGUAGGCGGUUUAUUAAGUCUAUGGUGAAAGUGCGGGGCUCAACCAUAGUUGGCAUCCAAAACUGGUAGACUAGAGUACAGGAGAGGGAAGCGGAAUUCCUAGUGUAGCGGUGAAAUGCGUAGAUAUUAGGAGGAACACCAGUGGCGAAGGCGGCUUUCUGGACUGACACUGACGCUGAGGCACGAAAGCGUGGGGAGCAAACAGGAUUAGAUACCCUGGUAGUCCACGCUGUAAACGAUGAAUACUAGGUGUAGGGGGUAUCGACCCCCUAGGGCAGUUAACGCAUGAAGUGAUCCACCUGGGGAGUACGCACGCAAGUAUGAAACUCAAAGGAAUUGACGGGGACCCGCACAAGCGGUGGAGCAUGUGGUUUAAUUCGAAGCAACGCGAAGAACCUUACCAGGUCUUGACAUCCCUCUGACCGGUCCGUAACGGGACCUUUCCUUCGGGACAGAGGAGACAGGUGGUGCAUGGUUGUCGUCAGCUCGUGUCGUGAGAUGUUGGGUUAAGUCCCGCAACGAGCGCAACCCUUAUCUUUAGUAGCCAGCACGUAACGGUGGGAACUCUAGAGAGACUGCCGAGGAUAACUCGGAGGAAGGUGGGGAUGACGUCAAAUCAUCAUGCCCCUUAUGAUCUGGGCUACACACGUGCUACAAUGGCCGGUACAAAGGGCAGCGAAGGAGUGAUCUGGAGCCAAUCCCAAAAAGCCGGUCCCAGUUCGGAUUGUAGUCUGCAACUCGACUACAUGAAGUUGGAAUCGCUAGUAAUCGCGAAUCAGAAUGUCGCGGUGAAUACGUUCCCGGGUCUUGUACACACCGCCCGUCACACCAUGGGAGUUGGAAGCGCCCGAAGCCAGUGACUCAACCGCAAGGAGAGAGCUGUCGAAGGUGAAGCCAAUGACUGGGGUGAAGUCGUAACAAGGUAACC
rnacentral:rRNA from 1 species